UACGUAGGGUGCGAGCGUUAUUCGGAAUUACUGGGCGUAAAGCGUGCGCAGGCGGUUGUGUAAGACAGACGUGAAAUCCCCGGGCUCAACCUGGGAACUGCGUUUGUGACUGCACGGCUAGAGUACGGCAGAGGGGGGUGGAAUUCCACGUGUAGCAGUGAAAUGCGUAGAGAUGUGGAGGAACACCGAUGGCGAAGGCAGCCCCUGGGCCAGUACUGACGCUCAUGCACGAAAGCGUGGGGAGCAAACAGGAUUAGAAACCCGAGUAGU
rnacentral:rRNA from 1 species